rnacentral:rRNA from 1 species
GUAAUCGCAGAUCAGCAUGCUGCGGUGAAUACGUUCCCGGGUCUUGUACACACCGCCCGUCACACCAUGGGAGCCGGGAAUGCCCGAAGUCAGCGGCCCAACCGAAAGGGGGGAGCUGCCGAAGGCAGGCCUGGUGACUGGGGCGAAGUCGUAACAAGGUAUC